GGGGCCGUAGCUCAGCUGGGAGAGCACCUGCUUUGCAAGCAGGGGGGUCGUCGGUUCGAUCCCGUCCGGCUCCACCA
rnacentral:tRNA from 1 species